rnacentral:rRNA from 1 species
CUUCGGUGUCGCAGUUAAUGCGAUAAUGUGUCCCCGCCUGGUAGAGUACGCCCAGCUAUGGAUGCAACUCAAAGGAAUUGAGCGGGGGACCGCACAAGCGGUGGAGCAUGCGCAUUUAAUUCGAUGCAACGCGAAGAACAUUACCUGGGUUUGACAUGGGAGUGAAAGUUCCUAGAGAUAGGAACCUUUCGUUCGGGAACACUCCACACAGGUGUUGCAUGGUUGUCGUCAGCUCGUGUCGUGAGAUGUUGGGUUAAGUCCCGCAACGAGCGCAACCCUCGCCCUUAGUUGCCAUCAGGUAAUGCUGGGAAUUCUAGGGGGACCCCCUGGAACAACCAGGAGGAAGGGGGGGAUGAUGUCAAAUCAUCAUGGCUCUUACGUCUAGGGUUAGACGCGUGGUACAAUGGUCGGUACAGAAGGAUGCCAAGUCGUGAGACCGAGGUAAUCCAUGAAAACCGGCCUCAGUUCGGAUUGGAGUAUGCAAUUCGACUCCAUGAAGGUGGAAUCGCUAGUAAUCGCGGAUCAGCAUGCCGCGGUGAAUAUGUUCCCGGGCCUUGUACACACCGCCCGUCAAUCCACGAAAGAUGGGAGUACCCGAAGUCGCUUGCCCAACCUGCAAGGGGGGGUGAUGCCGAAGGUAAGACCAUUGAUUGCGUCUAAGUCCUAGGCAAGGUAACCAAGGGCGAA